rnacentral:tRNA from 1 species
UGAGUUGUAGCUCAGUGGUAGAGCCUUCCUAGCAUGUGUGAGGUACUGGGUUCAAUCCUCAGCACCACAU